UCCUCUAGCUAAUGACAGGAUCCCAGAAA
rnacentral:piRNA from 1 species